rnacentral:tRNA from 1 species
GGACCUAUAGCCUAGCCUGGCAACCUUUUGCAAAAAGCUUGGACAAAAGCGUGCGGCGUGAAGCCACACUAUAUUUGGGCAAAUAGGGCGACAGCCUUCUAAGCUGUAGAUCGAGGGUUCGAAUCCCUCUAGGUCCA